rnacentral:tRNA from 1 species
GGCCAGCAUGGCGUAGUGGUUUCAGUGCUGGACUAUGACUCUGGAGACCAUGGUUCGAAUCCCAGCUUGGCCA